AUUGAACGCUGGCGGCAGGCCUAACACAUGCAAGUCGAACGAGUGGCGGACGGGUGAGUAAUGUCUGGGAAACUGCCCGAUGGAGGGGGAUAACUACUGGAAACGGUAGCUAAUACCGCAUUAUAUCGGAUUGUCCCAGAUGGGAUUAGCUAGUAGGUGGGGUAACGGCGCACCGGGGCGACGAUCCCUAGCUGGUCUGAGAGGAUGACCAGCCACACUGGAACUGAGACACGGGCCAGACUCCUACGGGAGGCAGCAGUGGGAAAUAUUGCACAAUGGGCGCAAGCCUGAUGCAGCCAUGCCGGGUGUGUGAAGAAGGCCUUCGGGUUGUAAAGUACUUUCAGCGGGGAGGCGUUACCCGCAGAAGAAGCACCGGCUAACUCCGUGCCAGCAGCCGCGGUAAUUC
rnacentral:rRNA from 1 species